rnacentral:rRNA from 1 species
AGCGAACGCUGGCGGCAGGCUUAACACAUGCAAGUCGAACGGGCGUAGCAAUACGUCAGUGGCAGACGGGUGAGUAACGCGUGGGAACGUACCUUUUGGUUCGGAACAACCCAGGGAAACUUGGGCUAAUACCGGAUAAGCCCUUACGGGGAAAGAUUUAUCGCCGAAAGAUCGGCCCGCGUCUGAUUAGCUAGUUGGUGUGGUAACGGCGCACCAAGGCGACGAUCAGUAGCUGGCCUGAGAGGAUGAUCAGCCACAUUGGGACUGAGACACGGCCCAAACUCCUACGGGAGGCAGCAGGUGGGGAAUAUUGGACAAUGGGCGCAAGCCUGAUCCAGCCAUGCCGCGUGAGUGAUGAAGGCCCUAGGGUUGUAAAGCUCUUUUGUGCGGGAAGAUAAUGACGGUACCGACAAGAAUAA